rnacentral:lncRNA from 1 species
GGAUCAGAAGAAUACCUAUAAUGCUAAUCUAAUUUUUAUGAGGCAUCCAAGUGCCCGCCCUCCAAUGAUGAUCUACAUAGAAAUUGAACCAAAGACAGCGCUCCUUCUUCACCUUGCUUUAAGAGUUCUAACCCCUAGAACUCGACUAGCCACCAAUCGAUCAGACCUUCCUUCAGACCUAAGUCUGAACCUCUCUGAACCACCCACU